GAGAAAGAUUCCCCCGGUUCUUCAGGCCAGUGUCAAUGGCUACCCCUAGGAGCAACCACUCUUUUCCCCAACUGCCAUUGACACUGCUUGAGGGUCAUCCAGACGAUGACUCAGUGACAGAUUUGGACAUCCCUGAUAUCUGAGACGACCAAGUACCGGGGGAGGAUCCUGCCCCAGCCUUCUCGCCGACGCUGCCAGAUGAGGAGGUGGCUAGAGUAGAAUAUUGCGAUCAAGGGACACAAACAGAGCACUUCCUUCGGGAUCUAUUUACCCAACUGGAGGAGGGGCUACAAAUUGUACCACAGCAGUACGGGGCCUACAGGAGGCCAUGCAAAAUAUUUUAUAAAAUACUGUAUUUUAUUUCUUUAAAAAAAAAAAAUUCAAUAGUUUUAUAAUAAAUAUAUAUUUAAUCAAAA